rnacentral:rRNA from 1 species
UACGUAGGGGGCAAGCGUUAUCCGGAUUUACUGGGUGUAAAGGGAGCGUAGACGGCUGUGCAAGUCUGAAGUGAAAGGCGGGGGCUCAACCCCCGGACUGCUUUGGAAACUGUUUGACUGGAGUGCAGGAGAGGUAAGUGGAAUUCCUAGUGUAGCGGUGAAAUGCGUAGAUAUUAGGAGGAACACCAGUGGCGAAGGCGACUUUCUGGACAGUAACUGACGUUGAGGCACGAAAGUGUGGGGAGCAAACAGG